GCAGUCGANGAGUUCUGAUUAUUGAAAGGUGCUUGCAUCUUGAUUUAAUUUUGAACGAGUGGCGGACGGGUGAGUAACACGUGGGUAACCUGCCCUUAAGUGGGGGAUAACAUUUGGAAACAGAUGCUAAUACCGCAUAAAUCCAAGAACCGCAUGGUUCUUGGCUGAAAGAUGGCGUAAGCUAUCGCUUUUGGAUGGACCCGCGGCGUAUUAGCUAGUUGGUGAGGUAACGGCUCACCAAGGCAAUGAUACGUAGCCGAACUGAGAGGUUGAUCGGCCACAUUGGGACUGAGACACGGCCCAAACUCCUACGGGAGGCAGCAGUAGGGAAUCUUCCACAAUGGACGCAAGUCUGAUGGAGCAACGCCGCGUGAGUGAAGAAGGCUUUCGGGUCGUAAAACUCUGUUGUUGGAGAAGAAUGGUCGGCAGAGUAACUGUUGUCGGCGUGACGGUAUCCAACCAGAAAGCCACGGCUAACUACGUGCCAGC
rnacentral:rRNA from 1 species